UUUAUACUUUUAAAAUUUUACAAAUAAUGGACUCCUAAAAUCUACAACUAAAAAAUAAAUAAAGAUAAAACAAUAAUAAAAAACUGUUUAUCCAAAAAGAAAAAAUUAAACUAAUAAAAAAAAUAAAUUAUAAAAAAACAAAAACUGAUAUAAAAAAAAAAAAAAAAUAACAAAACUAAAAAAAAAACUAAAAACAAAAACUGGGAAAAAAAUGGGGGGCUGGGGGAGGGGGGGAAAGUGUGUGUGUGUGUGUGUUAGGGCAUAAUGGUAAUUGUGUAGGGGUUUGGGUUUGGGGGUGGGGUGGGGGUGGGGGUGGGGGGGUGGGGGUGGGGUGAGCUCUAAGUCGGACUCUGAAAGGAGUCUGCACCGACUUGUUGGCCACGCUCUGGCAUAGAGUCUACACAACCAAAUUACCAUUGGCCCCUCAUGUUAGAACAUGACAGAAAAUAAACAUUAUGUCAUUAAGAAAAUUUUUAAAAGAAAUGUGUUUCUCAAAGUUAUGAGAGGCAAUCAAGAUUUUGAAAUUGGAGUUACCGCAGAUGAUAUCUAAGAAAAUUUGCAUUCAAUAAAAUAUGGGAAAACAUAUCAAAGGAAAUAUUUUAGGUAAUUUUUUUAAUAAAAUUUUUGCAUUUUUAUUUUUAUUUUUUAUCUAUUAUAAAUAAUUUAUGACAUCGUAGUUCGAUAGCGGUUCGAUAACGAUUGAUCCUAUAGUUAAACCGGUAACCCGUAACCCGAAAUUUUUUUCGGUUCGCUCAACGAUCCGGAUUUCAAAACAUUGCUGUAGACAAUUGCCAAAUCAUUUGAUUACUUAUUAUACUUGGAUUAUGUGUGCAUAAAUACAGAGACAUUACUUCUAUAUACGCAACAAACUACUCUCUUACACUUGGUAGUCUUUAGCCACAGGGCAAAGAGCAUUUUUCUUAUGCAUUGUAAGACCAGGCGUCAGCAUCAAAGUCUUCCUUCUUCAUCCUAAAGGGAGGUCCAAUCAAAAUGAGUAAAGAAGAUUGGCAAGUACAGGUACACUAUUGCAACUCUCAGUUGAUUCCAGGAACCCUCUUGCCAGCUACGAAUGAAUUAGGCCCAAAGUCCUGUCCUCUGAAAUCAAUAUCGCUACCCAAGAAUCCUCAGGCAAGAACUCUUCGGGUUUUCCCAAAUUUCAGGGGUCUCUGCAAGUGGCCCAUGCAUUUAUAUUAAAAACUACGGUUUGGUGGCCGAAUCUCAUACUCAUCUAUAACGUCAACCUUUGAGUUGUUUUUUCCCUGGGCGCUAGAAGUGGAGCCGGUGGGUACAAUCUCAGUGUCUCUUUUAUCAUUGCCCUAAGAUAAGGCAGGCUUUGAAUGUAGUCUUUGUCUACCUUAGCUUUCCUACCAACCGAAUUUCGUACCUCUUCUUGCACUUUCUUCAACACUGCCGGAUCUUUGAUUAGUGCCUUCAUUGCCCAAACUAUGGUGGCUGCACCAGUGUCUGUUCCAGCGAUAAGUAUACCCUGCACAAGAAAAGGAGAUAAGCAAGAAUACCAUAACAGCCCGUUUGGCUGCCGGAUAUAGCCCCGAUAAUUUUUCUCCCCUCUUUUUUUCCCUAUCCGGUGUUUGGCUGAAGAUAUUCUUCCCUGAUAACUUUUCCCCCUGCUUUUCCCUUUCCCCCAGCUCCCGGAUACACUUUUGGGGCAUCCCUCCCCCUCCCCCAAAGUAUCCUGCGGUAUUAGAAUUUUCGGACUAUUUCACCCCUCCUUUACCCCUUCCAACAGCCAAAAAAACAACCAACAAAAUAUUUUAAAAAAUAAAAAAUAAAAAUAAAUCGAGAGAGGCAUCUGGGUCUAUCCAUCGCCUGAAUCGAACCAUUUGGCCUCUGAAUCAAACCUCCGUGGCUUGAAUCGAACCAUUCGUCGCUUGAAUCGAAACCCUCCGGAGCUUGAAUCGACACUUUCGGCGCCUGAAUCGAAGCCUCCGGCCUCCGCAAGCUCCGCCUAGACCCCUUCUCUCCUCUCUUUUGUUUCUGAACCGUCUCUGUCUCUGUUAAAAAACGUGAUUCGGAAGUUAGGGUUUGAAAUUUUAUAUAUAGGGUAAAUUUCACUUUGCCCCUUACUUUGAUACUAUUAUUUUUUAACCUCUUUAGUUUAAUUUUAACAUUUUUUAAAAAAUAAUCAUUUUUAGAUAAGGGAAAAAAGGUCAUUUUAACACAUUUUUUCUUCUUAUCCCCCAUCCUUAUCCACCCAUUCUAAAAAAUAUCCAAAACAAGAAAAUUUAUCCCCCCUCUAAAAUUUAUCCCCCUCCCAUAUCCUCCAGCCAAACGAGCCGUAAAGGAUGUAUAAUAAAACAUAAAAACCUCGAUCUUGAUAGUGUGAUAAAUUUAUAGUUGCCAACAAUCUAAUUUAUUCAAAAACAGGUCAAGCCUAAUCCAUUUACUAAAUGAAUAAAUUCCAUCUAGUCAAAUGUUUAGGCUCGGUACCCUGGCUUGGCUAGAUUAGACUCAUGAAUAUAAGGGAAUAAAACUUCAAUUA
rnacentral:lncRNA from 1 species